GCACAGUCACGAGAGCCAGAAUCCAAGGAAGUGUCCCUGCAUGGCACUGAGCACCUUGGGCAAACACAGAAAGCUUUUGUUUGGCUUUCCCUGAGACUUCACUGAGGCUUUGAUCUUGUCUGCUGUCACCAGUGCAAACCCUUUCUAUUAUGGGUGGUGCUCUUCCAUCUGCUUUUUGCUGCACUGUUGUGGAGUGCUUAUGACAUCUAAGGACAGUGACCAAAUGGCAGGAAAGCUGUUAAAUCAUUGAAUGCUCAGUUGUGCUUUCUGUCCUGUAAAGGACUUCUCUGGAGACAACACAGCGUGGACACAAAAUAAGGUAAUUUUCUAGAUUCUUGAGAGUGCACCACAAUUCCUGUUUCAUAAGGAUGCCUGGGAAAAGAGACUAAAACAUUUAAACUAUACAUGAAAGAAGUGUAGCUCGUCUUUGUGUUACAGAGAUGCUUUUUCUGUCCUUGUUUUCUUAGAUAUGGGUGAUUUUUCACAAAGAGCUUCUGAGUUCUCCUGUUUGUGCUCUUGUGGCCCCAAUGGAAAUUGGGUUUUGGAAAUUGAUAGUGUGAUGGACAAGACUUGGCUGGACCUGGUAUGAUGCUGUAUUCAUAAAGGGUUUGUCUUGCUACUCUUCUGUGUCCUUUGUACGUGCAUGUAUGAACACUUAAACAGCACAAGGAUUUUGAACUCAUGGGCACCUGAGAUAAUUACAAAAUUGAGAACUCUUAGCAGGAGGGAACUGGCUCGGGUACAGUCUCACUGAUGACUUUCAGAAUUGGUCUCUGUUGACAUCUUGAUAAAACACAAGCUACAGACAGCUGCCUUUUCUGUGUUUUAGCCUAGUUCUGGUUCCUGUCCAAUAUGCAGGUUAUCUCAUGGUUUUCAGCAGUAACUGUGGUUGCAAUAGAAACGCACCUGAGUUGAACUGCUGGAAGUCUCUCUGUAGCAACAGAAAGCACAGGGGAGCUGACUUGCUGACAGCAUCAUAGACACUUCUGGCAGAACAUAUGCAGGUGUCAGUGAUGCUGGGAGAGUGAACUUGGCUGCUUGGAAGAGCCCUCUUUGGGCUCCAUGGGUAUGGAGGAGGAGCUGAGGAAGUGAGUGACUUCCCCCCCGCUCAGCAGAAUGAAGGGACACUCCUGGUGCUUGGAGGAGCGGGUGGCAGGGUCUUGUAUUACAACCUAGGGGGAACGAGCUUGGAUGUUUCCCUAUUCCCAUGAAAGAUCUAUUUUGUGGAACCUUACAAAAGUAUGAUACGAGUGGUUAUUGGGCUGGUGAAAGGUGCUGCUUCUAGAACCUGAAGGGACAAUGCACAAAAGAUGGUGGCGUUUCUUGGCGGAUGUACUUACAACUUGGGAGAAAAGAAGUGACAACCUUGAAGCCAAGGUGGCAACAGCUGAAUGAUCUGUGCUGUUUCUCCAGAGGCAGCUACAUUUUAAGACCAGCAAAAGAG